rnacentral:rRNA from 1 species
UACGGGGGGGGCAAGCGUUGUUCGGAAUUACUGGGCGUAAAGGGCUCGUAGGCGGCCAACUAAGUCAGACGUGAAAUCGCUCGGCUUAACCGGGGAACUGCAUCUGAUACUGGAUGGCUUGAAUCCGGGAGAGGGAUGCAGAAUUCCAGGUGUAGCGGUGAAAUGCGUAGAUAUUGGGAGGAACACCAGUGGCGAAGGCGGCUCACUGGACCGGUACUGACGCUGAUGCGCGAAAGCGUGGGGAGCAAACGGG